CCUACGGGAGGCUGCAGUGGGGAAUAUUGGACAAUGGGGGGAACCCUGAUCCAGCCAUGCCGCGUGUGUGAAGAAGGCCCUCGGGUUGUAAAGCACUUUCAGUGAGGAAGAACGCCUGGUGGUUAAUACCCAUCAGGAAAGACAUCACUCACAGAAGAAGCACCGGCUAACUCCGUGCCAGCAGCCGCGGUAAUACGGAGGGUGCGAGCGUUAAUCGGAAUUACUGGGCGUAAAGCGCGCGUAGGUGGCUUGAUAAGCCGGUUGUGAAAGCCCCGGGCUCAACCUGGGAACGGCAUCCGGAACUGUCAAGCUAGAGUGUAGGAGAGGAAGGUAGAAUUCCCGGUGUAGCGGUGAAAUGCGUAGAGAUCGGGAGGAAUACCAGUGGCGAAGGCGGCCUUCUGGACUGACACUGACACUGAGGUGCGAAAGCGUGGGUAGCAAACAGGAUUAGAUACCCUAGUAGUC
rnacentral:rRNA from 1 species